GCCGGGUGCAGUGGCGCGCGCCUGUAGUCCAAGCUGCUGGGAGGCUGAGGCUGGCGGAUCGCUUGAGUUCAGGGGUUCUGGGCUGCAGUGGACUAUGUCGAUCGGGUGUCCGCGCUAAGUUCGGUAUCGAUAUGGUGCUCCUGGGGGAGCUCGGGACCACCAGGUCGUCUAAGGAGGGGUGAACCGGCCCAGGUCGGAGACGGAGCAGGUCAAAGCCCCCGUGCCGAUCAGUAGUGGGAUCGCGCCUGUGAAUAGACACUGCAGUGCAGCCUGAGCGAUACAGCGAGACUCAGACUUUU
ensembl:misc_RNA Metazoa_SRP Metazoan signal recognition particle RNA